UAGGACUUUGAGAAACCCAAAAAACUCAGAGUCCCUUUAGGGAAGCUGUUACCUACUCCCGCCCGCCCCAUGCACGCAGCCUCCUGCGCUGGAUCUACCUCAGGAUGCGACAACUGCAAGCCGGGGCAACUGGAGGAAGCCAGCAAACCCCAGGUCCUACCUGAGCCAGCCAGCCUCGUCCUCUUCUCCCGCUCGGCACUGAGAAAACAGCUCUGCAAUACUCCAGGAGGGAGAAAGAUAAUACCGGAUUUCUAG
rnacentral:lncRNA from 1 species